GCCUGGCUGGCUCAGUAGAGCAUGUGACUCUUGAUCUAGGGGUUGUGGGUUUGAGCCCCAUGUUGGGUG
rnacentral:tRNA from 1 species